rnacentral:rRNA from 1 species
ACGAACGCUGGCGGCACGCUUAACACAUGCAAGUCGAACGAGAGAAGAGAAGCUUGCUUUUCUGAUCUAGUGGCGGACGGGUGAGUAACACGUGAGCAAUCUGCCUUUCAGAGGGGGAUACCGAUUGGAAACGAUCGUUAAUACCGCAUAAUAUAAUUGAACCGCAUGAUUUGAUUAUCAAAGAUUUAUCGCUGAAAGAUGAGCUCGCGUCUGAUUAGCUAGUUGGUAAGGUAACGGCUUACCAAGGCGACGAUCAGUAGCCGGACUGAGAGGUUGAUCGGCCACAUUGGGACUGAGACACGGCCCAGACUCCUACGGGAGGCAGCAGUGGGGAAUAUUGCACAAUGGAGGAAACUCUGAUGCAGCGAUGCCGCGUGAGGGAAGAAGGUUUUAGGAUUGUAAACCUCUGUCUUCAGGGACGAAAAAAGACGGUACCUGAGGAGGAAGCUCCGGCUAACUACGUGCCAGCAGCCGCGGUAAUACGUAGGGAGCGAGCGUUGUCCGGAAUUACUGGGUGUAAAGGGAGCGUAGGCGGGAUCGCAAGUCAGAUGUGAAAACUAUGGGCUUAACCCAUAAACUGCAUUUGAAACUGUGGUUCUUGAGUGAAGUAGAGGUAAGCGGAAUUCCUAGUGUAGCGGUGAAAUGCGUAGAUAUUAGGAGGAACAUCAGUGGCGAAGGCGGCUUACUGGGCUUUAACUGACGCUGAGGCUCGAAAGCGUGGGGAGCAAACAGGAUUAGAUACCCUGGUAGUCCACGCCGUAAACGAUGAUUACUAGGUGUGGGGGGACUGACCCCUUCCGUGCCACAGCAAACGCAAUAAGUAAUCCACCUGGGGAGUACGACCGCAAGGUUGAAACUCAAAGGAAUUGACGGGGGCCCGCACAAGCAGUGGAGUAUGUGGAUUAAUUCGAAGCAACGCGAAGAACCUUACCAGGUCUUGACAUCGUAUGCAUAGCUCAGAGAUGAGUGAAAUCUCUUCGGAGACAUAUAGACAGGUGGUGCAUGGUUGUCGUCAGCUCGUGUCGUGAGAUGUUGGGUUAAGUCCCGCAACGAGCGCAACCCUUACUGUUAGUUGCUACGCAAGAGCACUCUAGCAGGACUGCCGUUGACAAAACGGAGGAAGGUGGGGAUGACGUCAAAUCAUCAUGCCCCUUAUGACCUGGGCCUCACACGUACUACAAUGGCUGUUAACAGAGGGAUGCAAAGCCGCGAGGUGGAGCGAACCCCUAAAAGCAGUCUUAGUUCGGAUUGUAGGCUGCAACCCGCCUACAUGAAGUCGGAAUUGCUAGUAAUCGCAGAUCAGCAUGCUGCGGUGAAUACGUUCCCGGGCCUUGUACACACCGCCCGUCACGCCAUGGGAGUCGGUAACACCCGAAGCCUGUAGUCUAACCGCAAGGAGGACGCAGUCGAAGGUGGGAUUGAUGACUGGGGUG